GACAGAGGUCUCAAGCGUUAGGCGGAAUCACUGGGCUUAAAGCGUGUGUAGGCGGGAGCGUAAGUACCUUGUGAAAUCCCACGGCUCAACCGUGGAACGGCUGGGUAUACUGCGCUUCUUGGGCCAACUAGGGGCAGCCGGAACGAAGCGGUGGAGCGGUGAAAUGCGUAGAUAUCGCUUGGAACGCCGGAAGGUGAAAACAGGCUGCUGGG
rnacentral:rRNA from 1 species